rnacentral:rRNA from 1 species
GCCUACCAUGGUUUUAACGGGUAACGGGGAAUUAGGGUUCGAUUCCGGAGAGGGAGCCUGAGAAACGGCUACCACAUCCAAGGAAGGCAGCAGGCGCGCAAAUUACCCAAUCCCGACACGGGGAGGUAGUGACAAUAAAUAACAAUACGGGGCUCAUUUGGGUCUCGUAAUUGGAAUGAGUACAAUUUAAAUCCCUUAACGAGGAACAAUUGGAGGGCAAGUCUGGUGCCAGCAGCCGCGGUAAUUCCAGCUCCAAUAGCGUAUAUUAAAGUUGUUGCAGUUAAAAAGCUCGUAGUUGAACUUCGGGGUCUACCCAUUGGUCAGGCUUAAUUGUCUGCACUGGUGAGAUGGAUCUCUACCUUCUGAGGAACUUUCAUGCCAUUUAUUUGGUGUGAUGGGAAAUCAGGACUGUUACUUUGAAAAAAUUAGAGUGUUUAAAGCAGACUAUCGUCUGAAUACAUUAGCAUGGAAUAAUGAAAUAGGACGGACUGAUUCUAUUUCGUUGGUUUCUAGGAUCACCGUAAUGAUUAAUAGGGAUAGUUGGGGGCAUUAGUAUUCAAUUGUCAGAGGUGAAAUUCUUGGAUUUAUUGAAGACUAACUACUGCGAAAGCAUUUGCCAAGGAUGUUUUCAUUAAUCAAGAACGAAAGUUAGGGGAUCGAAGACGAUCAGAUACCGUCGUAGUCUUAACCAUAAACUAUGCCGACUAGGGAUCGGACGAAGUUAAUUUUAUAAUGACGCGUUCGGCACCUUACG